GACGAACCGUCCAAACGUUAUUCGGAAUUACUGGGCUUAAAGGGUGCGUAGGCGGCGCGGAAAGUUGGGUGUGAAAUCCCUCGGCUCAACCGAGGAACUGCGCCCAAUACUACCGUGCUUGAGGGAGAUAGAGGUGAGCGGAACUUAGGGUGGAGCGGUGAAAUGCGUUGAUAUCCUAAGGAACACCGGUGGCGAAAGCGGCUCACUGGAUCUCUUCUGACGCUGAGGUACGAAAGCUAGGGUAGCGAACGGG
rnacentral:rRNA from 1 species